rnacentral:rRNA from 1 species
CCUACGGGAGGCAGCAGUGGGGAAUAUUGCACAAUGGGGGAAACCCUGAUGCAGCAACGCCGCGUGAGUGAAGAAGUAUUUAGAUAUGUAAAGCUCUAUCAGCAGGGAAGAAGAUGACGGUAGCUGAGGAAGAAGGCCCGGCUAACUAAGUGCAAGCAGCGGCGGUACUACGUAGUGUGCAAGCGUUAUCCGGAUUUACUGGGUGUAACGGGAGCGUAGACGGCAUAGCAAGUCUGAAGUGAAAGCCCAAGCCUCAACCAUGGUACUGCUUUGGAAACUGUUAAGCUAGAGUGCUGGAGAGGUAAGCGGAAUUCCUGGUGUAGCGGUGAAAUGCGUAGAUAUUAGGAAGAACACCAGUGGCGAAGGCGGCUUACUGGACACUAACUGACGUUGAGGCUCGAAAGCGUGGGGAGCAAACAGGAUUAGAUACCCGAGUAGUC